rnacentral:rRNA from 1 species
AUGGACGGCUACUUGCCAAAUAUAAUCCAGGAUGAUUAUCAUGCAUCCUCAGAUGCCUGCUCAUUGCCAGCUUGCAUGUGUACAUGGGACAAAGUCAGUUUUUAUCUGACAAAGAUAUCGCAGAGUGCUUUAUUUCUAAUACAGCUUCAGCGCACACGGAGAUUGGGCGAAACAGCACCCCCCCCUCUGCUGGCCAUGCCUCUCCGCAGCCUCGGGCCUCACCUCCGGACCGCUGGUGACAGCAAAGGCAAAAACGAGGAGCGUGAUGAGCAUUACGCCAGCAUGGCGAAGAGGUACAAAGCAAGGAGCUGGCGGCGGCUCCAUCGCCGACGAAGCCUGCCAGGAGGAUGA